rnacentral:SRP_RNA from 1 species
GCCGGGCACGGUGGCUUGUGCCUGUAAUCCAAGCUCCGGGGAGGCUGAGGCUGGCGGAUCGCUGAGCCCGGGGGUUCUGGGCUGCGGGGCUGUGCCGAGCGGGCGUCCAGGCUAAGGGUCGGCACCGACAUGGUGGCCCUGGGGGAGCCGGGGGCCACCAGGUCGCCUAAGGAGGGGUGAACCGGCCCAGGUCGGAGACGGAGCAGGUCAAAGCUCCCGUGCCGCUCGGUAGCGGGAUCGCGCCUGUGAGCAGACCCUGCAGCGCAGCCCGGGUAACAGCACGGGACCCAGCCUCUU